rnacentral:rRNA from 1 species
UCGAGCAGGGUCGAAAGACGGACUUAGUGAUCCGGUGGUUCCGCAUGGAAGGGCCAUCGCUCAACGGAUAAAAGCUACCCCGGGGAUAACAGGCUUAUCUCCCCCAAGAGUUCACAUCGACGGGGAGGUUUGGCACCUCGAUGUCGGCUCAUCGCAUCCUGGGGCUGUAGUCGGUCCCAAGGGUUGGGCUGUUCGCCCAUUAAAGCGGUACGCGAGCUGGGUUCAGAACGUCGUGAGACAGUUCGGUCCCUAUCCGUCGUGGGCGUAGGAAAUUUGAGAGGAGCUGUCCUUAGUACGAGAGGACCGGGAUGGACAUACCUCUGGUGUACCAGUUGUCGUGCCAACGGCAUAGCUGGGUAGCUAUGUGUGGACGGGAUAAGUGCUGAAAGCAUCUAAGCAUGAAGCCCCCCUCAAGAUGAGAUUUCCCAACUUCGGUUAUAAGAUCCCUCAAAGAUGAUGAGGUUAAUAGGUUCGAGG